GAUGAACGCUGGCGGCGUGCCUAACACAUGCAAGUCGAACGAAGCGCCUGGCCCCGACUUCUUCGGAACGAGGAGCCUUGCGACUGAGUGGCGGACGGGUGAGUAACGCGUGGGCAACCUGCCUUGCACUGGGGGAUAACAGCCAGAAAUGGCUGCUAAUACCGCAUAAGACCGAAGCGCCGCAUGGCGCGGCGGCCAAAGCCCCGGCGGUGCAAGAUGGGGCCCGCGUCUGAUUAGCUGGUUGGUGAGGUAACGGCCCACCAAGGCGACGAUCAGUAGCCGGACUGAGAGGUUGACCGGCCACAUUGGGACUGAGAUACGGGCCCAGACUCCUACGGGAGGCAGCAGUGGGGAAUAUUGGGCAAUGGGCGCAAGCCUGACCCAGCAACGCCGCGUGAAGG
rnacentral:rRNA from 1 species